GAUGAACGCUGGCGGCGUGCCUAGUACAUGCAAGUCGAGCGAACAGACGAGGAGCUUGCUCCUCUGACGUUAGCGGCGGACGGGUGAGUAACACGUGGAUAACCUACCUAUAAGACUGGGAUAACUUCGGGAAACCGGAGCUAAUACCGGAUAAUAUAUUGAACCGCAUGGUUCAAUAGUGAAAGACGGUUUUGCUGCCACUUAUAGAUGGAUCCGCGCCGCAUUAGCUAGUUGGUAAGGUAACGGCUUACCAUGGCAACGAUGCGUAGCCGACCUGAGAGGGUGAUCGGCCACACUGGAACUGAGACACGGUCCAGACUCCUACGGGAGGCAGCAGUAGGGAAUCUUCCGCAAUGGGCGAAAGCCUGACGGAGCAACGCCGCGUGAGUGAUGAAGGUCUUCGGAUCGUAAAACUCUGUUAUUAGGAAAGAACAAAUGUGUAAGUAACUAUGCACGUCUUGACGGUACCUAAUCAGAAAGCCACGGCUAACUACGUG
rnacentral:rRNA from 1 species